CUCUCUCUCUAGAUAUAUAUACAUACAUAUAUAUAUAUGUACGUGGAAAUAAACUAUUGGAAAAUGCAUAACAAAAAUCCUUUCUCUGCAUACAGUGAAUGAGUAUGUAUAGCAUAGGGAAUUGAAUUCCAAAUAAAGCAACCAAAGCAGCCUCCAUAGCUCUCUGAGAGAGCUUACUGACGGGACGGCAUCAAUUCCUUUUGCCAUGGCCACGCUUUUCCGGCUUCUUCCUCUUCUUCUUCUCUUUUCAGAUUGUUUUCCGACGACCGGAGCCGUCGGCGUGGGGAUAAACUACGGCCAAAUCGCGAACAACCUGCCGUCGCCGCCGCGCGUGGCGUACCUCCUAAGCUUACUCAACAUAACGCGCGUCAAGCUCUACGAUGCCGAUCCAAACGUCCUGUCGGCGUUCGCCAACACCGGCGUCGAAUUCACCAUCGGCCUCGGCAACGAGCACUUGCAGGCGGUUACCGAUCCAAGCCAAGCCAGAUCAUGGAUCGAGCAGCACGUGCAUCCGUACAUCUCUCAGACGAAGAUCACGUGCAUCGCCGUCGGCAACGAGGUCCUCACCGGAAACGACACGCAGCUAAUGUCGUACCUCCUGCCGGCGAUGCAAUCCGUUAACGACGCCCUUUUAAACUCCGGCCAACAGAUAUCGGUGACGACGGCGCACUCCUAUGGAAUCCUAUCGACAUCAUUCCCGCCGUCUUCCGGCGCAUUCCAACAGAAUCUCGCCGAAUACAUCCGGCCAAUCCUUGAGUUCCACCGCCGGACGGGGUCGCCGUUCACAAUCAACGCCUACCCGUUCUUCGCCUACAAGGACAAUCCCGACGGGGUGUCGUUGAGCUACGCCUUGUUCCAGCCGAGCUCCGGGAUGAUCGAUCCGUCGACGAAUCUGCGUUACGACAACAUGUUGUACGCGCAAGUCGACGCCGUUUACUCCGCGAUCAAAGCGGCUGGAUUCGACGAUAUCCGCGUCCAAGUGUCGGAGACGGGAUGGCCUUCGAAGGGCGAUCCCGACGAGGCGGGCGCGACGCCGGAGAACGCAAAACUCUACAACGGGAACUUGGUGCGACGGAUACAACAAAAUCAAGGGACUCCCGCAAAACCGUCGGUGCCUAUCGACAUCUACGUUUUCGCGCUUUUUAACGAGAAUCAAAAGUUCGGACCCGCCUCCGAGAGGAAUUACGGAUUGUACUAUCCGAACGGGACGCCCGUUUACAAUAUCGGGUUGGAAAGCUAUAGCAUUCCUCAUAUGGACUAUUCGGCUUCUAAAUCGACCGUAAGAUGUUUCGUCGACAAGCGGACGGUUGUGGCGUCUAUAUUGAUAUAUGUAUACAUAUAUACAUUCCAUUGUAGGUAAGAAUUCAUCGAUUUGAAGAACGGGGACAAGAGUCGAGGAAACUUUUCCUAUUUAUGGAAAGAUAUUCGGGAGGUGAAGCUGCUGCCAUUGGCACACACACACACUUGUUAUUUACAUACAUACAUAUGUAUUUAUUUAUUUUACAUAUUAAUUAUAGUCUUGGAAUUGCAUUUCAUUUUUAUUGAGUGACAAAAAACAAAAGAACAAGUUGGAAAUAAAUCAUCGAGCUUGUAUUACUCCUUCCGAUCCCGAAA